CCCAACCAUUCUGUCGGGGUAGAAGUUGUACAGAUUCCAGAAGUGACUCCACAGCUGCUUUCUGCUGAGCAGGCCCUGGGCAAGGACAGGGGAGCAGGGGGUGCAAGGUCUUAGCCACAUGGUCAGCUGCAAGUUCCUUCUGGUGGAUGUCUUUUGUGCAAAAUAGAAGUGAAAAUGGGACAGGAGGAAGGGAGCCAGGAGUGGGAGUAAGGGACCCUCUCCUUUCCAGUUGAGGGAAAAAAAUAUGAGUGGACCCAGUAACAGGAAAUCUGUCCAAGGAGAAACAAAUCUAAGAUUACUUAGACACUUGUUGUGCCCCAUUUGUUAAGUUUCAGAAAAGUAUCUGUCUGCAGCACUUGUUGGACUCUCUCAGGUAUUUCACCUAAUGGAGCUGCACCAAGAGGUGACUACUUUCCUUGAAGCAAAUUGUCUUCCUCUUUGAAAGCUGAGACAAAACAAGUGCCUGAUGUAGUGACACUGCUAUGCUUUGGAAAGAUGUUGUGAUCAGUGCAGCAUCCCUCACUUUUCUGGUCAUCUAGGUUGAGCAUUUUGAAAUAAAUAAUAUCGACAUGUUGCUGUAUUCAAAGCAUCUGGUUGCUAUGCAGCAUCUUGUACUGAAAUUCUAACAAUUCCUGGACAAAACUGAG